rnacentral:rRNA from 1 species
AUACGGAGGGUGCGAGCGUUGUUCGGAAUUAUUGGGCGUAAAGAGCAUGUAGGCAGUCGGGUAUGUCGUCCGUGAAAGCCCCCGGCUCAACCGGGGAACGGCGGACGAAACUGCCCGACUCGAGGGCGGGAGAGGCCGGUGGAGCUACCGGAGUAGCGGUGAAAUGCGCAGAUACCGGUAGAAACCUCGAUGGCGAAGGCAGCCGGCUGGCCCGUUCCUGACGCUGAGGCGCGAAAGCGUGGGGAGCGAACCGGAUUAGAAACCCUAGUAGUCC